GUCCCUGUAGCUUACCCUCAAAGCAUGACACUGAAGAUGUCAAGACGGCCGCUAAUGCUUCCCUGGGAC
rnacentral:tRNA from 1 species